CUUGAUCUAGCAAGCUAGCCACUUAGAAAGUUAGCAAAUCAUAUAGCUGGAACCCUGAACUCGAGAUAACUAUCUAAGGUGUGGCAAAUACAUUUACUUAUAGUUAUAAGCAAUGGCGUAGCACUCACACCUGAGCUUUAGGGCGCCCCUCUUGCAUGCGUGUUGAUUUUUGUUUUGGUUGCACUGGCAUCUACUUCUACACAUGGCCACGGCUGUGUCGCAUAGAAACUAUGUCGGUAGUCAUGUCAUCUUACCAUCCAAAGGGAAUGUAUGCAGCCAGCUAUACACUCGUAUCCUCCGUGGACCGAUUUUUUGAGAACCACCUGCAACUGAACACGGACAUGUGAAAUACGUUUCUUCCCAAUAGAGAACGAAGAAAGUAUCGGCAAGAACAGGACCUGAGCCCUAGGACCAUGCCUCAGGACUACCUGGCUUGAUGACUCCU